rnacentral:rRNA from 1 species
CCUACGGGAGACAGCAGUGGGGAAUCUUGCACAAUGGGGGAAACCCUGAUGCAGCAACGCCGCGUGAAGGAAGACGGUUUUCGGAUUGUAAACUUCUGUUCUUAGUGAAGAAUAAUGACGAUAGCUAAGGAGCAAGCCACGACUAACUACGUGCCAGCAGCCGCGGUUAUACGUAGGCGGCAAGCGUUGGCCGGACUUACUGGGUGUAAAGGGAGCGCAGGCGGGAAGCCAAGUCAGCUGUGAAAGCUACGGGCUUAACUUGUGUACUGCAGUUCAAACUGGUUUUCUUGAGUGCAGUAGAGGUUGGCGGAAUUCCGAGUGUAGCGGUGAAAUGCGUAGAUAUUCGGAGGAACACCAGUGGCGAAGGCGGCCAACUGGGCUUUAACUGACGCUGAGGCUCGAAAGUGUGGGGAGCAAACAGGAUUAGAUACCCUUGUAGUC